rnacentral:rRNA from 1 species
UGAGGAAUAUUGGGCAAUGCCCGCAAGGGUGACCCAGCAACGCCGCGUGGAGGAUGAAUGUCGUAAGAUUGUAAACUCCUGUUAGAGGGGAAGAAUAGUACCGGUUGGACCGGUAUAUGACUGUACCCUCAGAGAAAGCCCCGGCUAACUACGUGCCAGCAGCCGCGGUAAUACGGAGGGUGCGAGCGUUGUCCGGAAUCACUGGGCGUAAAGGGCGCGUAGGCGGUCUGCUAAGCGUGCGGUGAAAGCCCGGGGCACAACCCCGGGUCUGCCGUGCGAGCUGGUGGACUAGAGCGCUGUAGAGGCAGGUGGAAUUCCGGGUGUAGCGGUGGAAUGCGUAGAGAUCCGGAAGAACACCGGUGGCGAAGGCGGCCUGCUGGGCAGUAGCUGACGCUGAGGCGCGACAGCGUGGG